rnacentral:misc_RNA from 1 species
AUCUCCGCUUGGAGCGGGAAGGGGCGGACAGGGCAUUGAUCCGCGAGCUGUCACAGUCUCCACGCGACUCUCAUCAUGGCGAAGGUUAACAGUGGUAACACUGCCGAAAAGGCAAGGCCGAACAAACUCUGCGAGGAUUCGGAUGACGAAAAGUUAAAUUUGAAGAUAGAUAGUCUUCAAACUAAGAAAACUACACCCGCUUUCAUUUACAUUCUGACGUUUUUCGCCGCUCUUGGAGGAUUUCUGUUCGGAUACGACACCGGCGUGAUAUCGGGGGCUAUGAUAUUACUACGAAACGCUUUCAACCUUUCGUCCGUUUGGCAAGAGUUGAUUGUAAGCGUGACCAUUGGUGCUGCUGCGAUAUUUGCCCUUGUUGGGGGGUUCCUCAAUGACAGACUUGGACGAAGACCUGUCAUCAUGAUCGCUAGUCUCAUCUUUACCCUUGGGUCUAUUUGUAUGGGAAUCGCCAAGGAUAAGUUUGCGCUUCUCUCUGGGAGGAUUGUCGUCGGUGCCGGAAUAGGGCUGACAUCAACAACUAUCCCCAUGUACCUGGCUGAAUGCUCCCCCUCCUAUGCCCGGGGGUCGCUGGUGUCCACUAACAUCGCCAUGGUGGCCUUUGGACAGUUCAUGGCCAAUGUGGUGGAUGGGAUAUUUGGAGCAGACACCCAGAAUGGAUGGAGGUACAUGUUGGCACUGGGCUGUGUACCGUCCAUGGUCCAGUUCAUUGGCUUCAUGUUCAUGCCCGAGAGUCCAAGAUGGCUGAUCAUCACGGAGAAGGAGGAGAAGGCGAGAAGGGUCCUUCAGUCCAUGAGAGGACAGCUAGACAUCGAGGAGGAGUUUGAAAGCAUCAAGAAUACAUGCACAGAGAUCAAACAGCAGCAGGCAUCAAGAGCACAUAAACCAAUAUUCAUCCAGAUGCUUCAGACACCUGCUAUUCGACGAGCACUAAUAGUGGGAUGUAGUCUUCAGAUAUUUCAGCAGGUUGCGGGUAUCAACACAGUCAUGUAUUACAGUGCCACCAUUAUUCGCAUGUCAGGGGUCAAGAGUGAUGAAGCUGCGAUAUGGUUGUCGGCAGUAACAGCUGCAGUCAACUUCCUGUUUACACUUCUAGGCUUGUUUCUGGUAGAGAAGAUUGGGCGACGCCCACUGACAUUAGGAAGUCUUAUGGGUGCCAUAGUGAGUUUAGCUUGGCUGGCAGUUGGAUUCCACCUGUCUGCCCUCAACACACCCCCUAUAGAUCUGGUAGAGACUUCCGGUACAGAAUCCCACUGUGCAAGAUACAGAAUCUGCAAUGACUGUCGUCGUGACCUAAACUGUGGUUUCUGCUACGUUGAUGCUGGUGAUGCUGUUGCCAACUCGUCGUGCCUACCAACCAGCUAUGACAACCCCUGGUUGGCAACACAGGGUCGCUGCAACUCCAGCGAACUUCCAGGCGCCAUCACCUGGGCCUAUGACUACUGUCCCACCCAGUACUCCUGGAUGCCCAUGGUGGGACUUGUGCUGUACCUGGUCUUCUUUGCCCCAGGUAUGGGCCCCAUGCCCUGGACAAUCAACUCUGAGAUCUACCCACUGUGGGCUCGGAGCGUGGGGACGGCAGUGUCCACCUUCACCAACUGGACUUUCAACUUGGCAGUGUCCAUGUCCUUCAUCAGCCUCACUGAGACACUCACUAGAUAUGGUACAUUCUGGUUGUAUGCCUGCCUGGCAUUUCUUGGUGCAAUAAUUCUGGCCAUGAUUUUGCCAGAAACAAAGGGCAAAACACUGGAGGAAGUGGAAGGGUUGUUUGCUCGGUCCUGGAUGGGGGAGGGACCCCCGGUGAACUAUAAUACCAAGACUGUUCAGUACGUUCACAUACAUGGCCUCAAUCGUGAUGGCCGAGAAUCGGAACUGGAGUCCCCCGAGUAACCAGUCCGAGAGACUUGAAUCAGAUGGCCCUGCGAUGAUAGACUGUGAAAGAGAUAUGCCAUUACACAGCAUGAAGUAUUAGAAUUGUAUUAGGUUUUGAAAUAUUAUCAAAUGAGAGAUGUAUAAAAUAUGAACAUUUUUAUCUGCUCUGCUUUAGUCAAGCAUGUGAAUAGAACUGAGCGUGAACAAAUAUUAUUUUAUGAAAAUGGUUAAUAUGGUCAUAAUUUAUUUUGAAAUAUGUUUCAUAUCUAAUUUGAAAAAUAAUAUGUUUAAUAGCAAUACAGGAAGGUGGUGAAUAUACAUGUUAUAAGGUGGUGAAUAUAUACAUGUUAUAAGGUGGAAAAUAUACAUGUAAUAAGGUGGUAAAUAUACAUGUUAUAAGGUGG